rnacentral:rRNA from 1 species
UACAGAGGUGGCAAGCGUUGUUCGGAAUUACUGGGCGUAAAGGGCGCGUAGGCGGUUCGUUAAGUCCUGUGUGAAAUCCCCCGGCUCAACUGGGAAACUGCACAGGAAACUAGCGGACUUGAGUUCGGAAGAGGGAAGCGGAAUUCCGGGUGUAGCGGUGAAAUGCGUAGAUAUCCAGAGGAACACCGGUGGCGAAGGCGGCUUCCUGGACCGACACUGACGCUGAGGCGCGAAAGCUAGGGGAGCAAACGGG